UCAACAUAAUAUUCAAGGGAUUUUCAACAGGUGUCUUGCUGGGAGAUGGUGUACAAUCAAAUGAAGAUGUCUACAAAAAUAAAGAAGCUGAGACCUGGAAAAAUAAAGAGACUAGCUCCAAGUUCAUCUAAGUGGCAGAGGCAGAACUUGAACCUGUCAUAUGCAUCCAAAACCUAUUUCCAUCAUGCCAUACUAUGGGGCUUGAAUUGCUAGAAAGGAAUUUUGCACUAAGCAGCAUCUAACAGUAGUAUGUGUGGGUGGAGAGGGGGAAAAAAUGGAAAGAUCAGUUGUAAGAUUUCAGAAAAAGACUUCACAUUUUAAAUAUGAAGAAACUAAUACCCAGAAAUUGUGUUGGCCCAAGAUCACACAGAAAAUAACUAAAAUCAAGAUCUCCUGAAAUGUCAAAGCUAUUAUUCUUGAUCUACACUAUUUAGACCUGCUUUCAAAGCUUUAAAGUAGGUAGUGUUGAUUAUUAAAA